rnacentral:lncRNA from 1 species
AGGAGGAACAAUAUACCAAAUGUGGUUAAAAUCUUUUGAAGCAUAUUGGUUUUAGAGUGUCCACAAGGGUGAUAUUGCCUUGUAUUACAACUGCCACUGUGACCUUGACCUUUGAACUUUAAAGUCAAUAGCGCUUAAGAUAUUCUUAACGAGUAACACCAUACCAAGUUUUGAGCAUUUUGGUUCUAGAGUGUCCAUAACAAUUUUAUCUACACGCAACUUACAUGUAGUAGGCGAGGGGAUAAUAAACUAAGUUUUAUAAGAAUUAGACAAAAAGAUCGAUUACCCGCCAUGCAUGGCAGACUUGUACAGAAACGAUAUGUUGUCGAAAUUCUGUUCGUAUUUUUUAGACAUCGUAUGGCCAUCGCGCCAUCAUCGUAAUCCAUCGUGUAGCCUUCGUAAUCCAUCGUUCAGCCUUCGUGAUCCAUCGUGUAGGCUACGGCUGAGAUAUGAAGCUUAAAUACCCGUCUUCGGUUAACCUUCGUAUGUCCAUCUUUUGCUAUCGUAUACAAUUUCGGCACCAUCGUAUAGACUUCGUUAUUCAUCGUACUUGCUUCGGUCACUUUUUGGUAUUUUAACGAGAUCGGGACCAACUUCGUACGAACUUACAAUUUUAGCAUUCGGGUGUCCAUCGUAUAUAAAAAUCGGGACAGUGUGACGCGGCAUAAGAUGAGUAGCAAAAAUGUAAAAUCACAAUAAUGCUGAACACCAAGGAAAAUUCAAAUUGAAGAGUUCCUAAUUAAAUGGGAAAAUCAAAAGCUCAAACAGAAAAUAGUGAUAAACUGAUAAUCUAUUAACUCUACCAAUUCCUCAGCUACAUCUUAUAUCAGGGCAAACCCCCUUUUUAAAAGUUUAUUUAUAAUAUUGAAGAUGAUGAACUCCCUCUUGGUUUCACAGUAAUAAAUAUUAUUUAAUAAAUUAAUAUCAAAAUCACAUAAAUAUAUAUAUGGUCCCAUAUUGCAUAAAAAUCACACAACUUAAUUACAUGUAUUUACAAAGCAGUUUACAUCUCAAAUAUCUUGUUACAUAGUAUAUUUAUCUUGAACAUUCCAUGUAAAUACAGUAAACCUUUUUGAAAGGAGAACUGAUUGAGUUUUACAUACUAUAAAAUUGUAUAGAGUUAACAAUACUUUAAAAAGUAUCUUACAGAAGGAGUUUACCCUGCAAGAAUACUUUUACUCAAAUACAUAGAGCUAGAGUUAACCCAGGACCACUUUCAGAUUUUUGAAAGAAGACAGUUUUGUUUUACAUGUAUGAUGUUACACUCUAGUUACCAAAGUUCUAGCAACUUUGAAAUUAUGGAUUUUGAACAUCAAGAAGAUAUUUUUUUUAUGUUAUUGUACUAUCAUGACUAUAAUAAUGCAUCAAAAGUACAAAUCAUAGUUAAACUUUUUAAAACAAAUUAUAGCCAAAGUCAGUUAAACUUUCUAAACAUUUAGAAAAUAGUGGUAGCUAAUAUCAAUAUAGGACUGCUAGUAGUGAACACAUAUCAAGAACAUAUAUAUCUGAUUCUGUGUGCAUCUUAGUAUCUAAGUUCUCUUCAUGCCCAACUUUUUCUGUGAAAAGCUGGAUAGCCAUAAGAUAUUGUGGGUAUUAUAUAAUAUUAUAAUUAUAACUUAUUUAUUCUUUAGCAAAUGAACACAGAUAGUUAGAAAAAAAUAUAAUAACUGAGGCCCUCACAUAUAACAUGUAUAAUGACAUCAACCUGGUAUUAGAUGUUACUUUAGUCCAGCCAUGAUUUAUAAUAUAUAUUUUGAUAAAUUCAAAGCAAAUGACUUUAUAAUUCUUAUUAAAGCUAACCUUCAGACAACAUAAAAAAUGCAUCUUUUUUUCGUUUCCUACAUUAGUAACUUUUUGAAACUCAUGAUUUCAGACUAAUGCUCUUAGGGCAAAAAAAAUGUUAUAUGUAUGAUUUUGAUACACAUUUUUGUAGAAAAAGAAUUGAAAAAACUUUGAUGAUAAUAGAUAAUCUUAUAACAAGACAAAUCCAUAUUCAUAACUUUUAUAUAAGAUUUUCUUAUUUUUUGUAAAAUUGAGAUCGUUGAAAAAA